rnacentral:lncRNA from 1 species
UGCAAGCAACAUGAGUUUAUCUGUGUUUUUGGUUCAGCCAGCGGUCUGCCACCCUAAAAUGACUUCGUCGUAGCAUGUUCGUUUGACUUUAAUCUGUACCGGCUUCUACUUCUACAGUAUUUUGUCAUAGAUUGCAGCUGCAGCAGUCCGAACUGCUGACUUUAAUCCGAAGCGAACGACUCAUUUUACAUCUUCUCUGUUCUUCAUGCUUUAUGAGAAUGGGAAGCACUGGGAAAAGAACAUGAUCUUCAGCAGAAACACAAGGUAAUCUCUAAACAUUUUGAUUCUGCUAUCUAUAUUUUUAAAGAAAAUAGACAGGAACUCUUUUCAUUAUUACCUAUAAAGACGUGUGAAACAUCCUUCUUUUUUACUACUAAUCUAGCCACCCAAGACCUGUAAACAUAACUUAUGAAGCACCACAUCAUGGAUAUGAACUAGAGCUAAAACAUCUCUUUUGUUUGCUCUGUUGUGCUGAAGACUAUAGCUGGUAAGAUCAACAAGCAGUGAGAUUGUUUUAGGGAAUUCGGCUCUUUAUCGAGUGUCGAGCUAUUUACCGAGAGUUUUCUGGGCUGAAGCAUUCGGCAAAGUAGAUAUGUCUGAUAGUGUUUUGUUUUCUGGACUCAACAACCACGGCCCACGGUGCUGGACGGACGGACGGACAUUCUCGCAAGCACAUUUAAGCUUUGUUACCAUGUGUUAGAUUUUAAUUAAGUCUGAUUUGUUUUUAAUUCUAUUACAAUAAAAUAAACCACAUUGC